rnacentral:lncRNA from 1 species
UACUACUCUGGGGCUCUGAAGAGUUAAGAGAAAGAAAUCCUCUUUAGCCAUAUGGGGAGGGAAAGGGCCACAGUCCUUCCAGCCAAGAAGGAAUGGUGGUGAGGAAUCAAUAACAGGCAAGGGCGGGAAAACGGGACAGCUCCUCUGGCACUCCAGAAUGAAAGAAAUGAAAAUGCAUCUGUUACAUUUAUAUUCAAAUAUAUAAACACCUGCUCCUGAUAACACAAAUGAUUUGGAGAUAGUUGUGAUUUGAAUAGACUGUAGCUCUGUCUCCUGCUUCUCCUCCUCCUGAAAGCCCUAGAAUCUCUCAAAGAGGGUGACCUUUCCUUUUCUCUUUUACUGAAAUGAAUUGUAAUGACACUGAUAGAGCUGAUUUCCCUGGUGAUUAGGUAGGUGUUAAAUGUGUCCAUAAAAGAUAACAAGGUGGUAUACAAUCCAAAGGGGAUGGAAUUAACACUUGGUAUUGAAAACGAAGAUGAAAAUGCCAUAGAUACUACACCAAGGGGAAUGGCAGAUCUUCACCCAACAUCUGGGA